rnacentral:rRNA from 1 species
CUACGGGCUGCUGCAGUGAGGAAUAUUGCACAAUGGGGGGAACCCUGAUGCAGCAACGCCGCGUGGAGGAUGACGCAUUUCAGUGUGUAAACUCCUUUAAAUGUCAAGAAAAUGACGGUAGCAUAUGAAUAAGCACCGGCUAACUCCGUGCCAGCAGCCGCGGUAAUACGGAGGGUGCAAGCGUUACUCGGAAUCACUGGGCGUAAAGGACGCGUAGGCGGGUUGGAAAGUCAGGUGUGAAAUCCUACAGCUUAACUGUAGAACUGCACUUGAAACUUCUAAUCUAGAGUAUGGGAGGGGGAGAUGGAAUUAGUGGUGUAGGGGUAAAAUCCGUAGAUAUCACUAGGAAUACCUAAAGCGAAGGCGAUCUCCUGGAACAUUACUGACGCUAAGGCGUGAAAGCGUGGGGAGCAAACAGGAUUAGAUACCCCGGUAGUC